AUCCCAGAUAAAGUCCCUUGUGUUUAUCUGAUUCAUGGGAGGCUAAUAUUGACAAUGGAAGUUUCGCUGAUAGCACCACUUUUAACCUUGCAGGAGGUGUUUUUACUAGUAGCUUUCCAACAUUC